CGGAACGUGCCUCGUAGUGGGGGAUAACUCGGCGAAAGCCGUGCUAAUACCGCAUAUGCUCUACGGAGGAAAGCAGGGGACCGUAACAGGCCUUGUGCUAUGGGAGCGGCCGAUGUCCGAUUAGCUAGUUGGUGAGGUAAUGGCUCACCAAGGCGACGAUCGGUAGCUGGUCUGAGAGGAUGAUCAGCCACACUGGGACUGAGACACGGCCCAG
rnacentral:rRNA from 1 species